rnacentral:rRNA from 1 species
UAAUACAGAGGGUGCAAACGUUGCUCGGAAUUACUGGGCGUAAAGCGCGUGUAGGCGGACUGAUAAGUCAGAUGUGAAAUCCCUGGGCUCAACCUAGGAACUGCAUUUGAAACUGUCUGUCUUGAGUAUCGGAGAGGAUUGCGGAAUUCCUGGUGUAGAGGUGAAAUUCGUAGAUAUCAGGAGGAACACCGGUGGCGAAGGCGGCAAUCUGGACGAUUACUGACGCUGAGACGCGAAAGCGUGGGGAGCAAACAGG